CCAGGGAUGACGAACUGCCUCGAACGCCUCCGAGAUCUUUUCACGCGAUAGGUAUCUUUUCACACUUUGUGAAAGCUACUUGUUUAUUUGAGGGAUUGUUUAUGUGAGGAUUGCCGUUGUGCACUGUACGCUUUAGGUAUUGCAGUGUUUGCUGUCUAUGGGAUAAAGCCGACCGGGGGAAGGACUGAGUGAGACAAAAGACAAGCACGUCCGUCCUGUGUGCGCACAUUCAGUCAGGUACCCCGAACGUCACCUCAGGUACACCGUACGUGAGUGACCUCUACGACCUGAGGCGGUCAGGUACACCGAACGUCACCUCUACGACCUACAAGCGAUAUAUUGGCUCGCUCCCACCGAAACAACUAUUGGACUCCAAUGCAGAUUUAACGGCAAACGCCAUCUUCUAACUUGGGGUGUGUUGUCCUGUAUGCGGACACAGCGGCUAGGGAGCCCCUGUCCGUUCCUUCCCAAGCGUGCACCUUUUUAUGUGACCAAAGGGUGUGUGCGAGAGGGAAGAGGGAGGAAGAGAGAGAACAAGGAGGGGGAUACGGAGCCCAGACCGACUUGCUGAUGCCUGUGACUCAUUCUCAGGCAACGUUAGCAACUGAACUUCUCACCUCAUUACAACAACUAGCCGGUGUGGAUCCCUAGGAAUCUACUAGAUUCUCUUAAUUAGUGGGAAACAAGCCCAUCGGCAGUUGGCACUUUGACUGGAUUUUCUGCAGCAGCUAUGGACUGGGGAUUUCCCAGCUGCACUUGCUUCUAAGAACUGUCACCUUAUCUCUUCAGGACCAUCUUCCGAGCAACAAGACAAAAAGCAAUGAGGCUGGACGCGUCCCGCAAGUGUGACAGCUCAGUCACAUCUUCUACAUGUUUACACGCCGUGUUGCUGUGCUUGUGGGUGCAGAUGAUCCUGUUGACUCAACACUGACGAUUCUUGAGAAAGGACUUUUUUUUUCUAUGCUAUUGCUCCACUGGAAACAUAAAGGAACUGAAAAAUGUUUACUUAUUCAACACAAAUAUUAAGAUGUUUGCUGCUGAAGAAAAUGUUGACUUUCGAAUUCAUGUAGAAAAUCAAACAAGAGGAAGAGAUGACGUGAGUAGAAAGCAGCUUCGGCUCUAUCAGCUCUAUAGCAGAACAAGUGGGAAACAUAUACAAAUACUAGGAAGAAGAAUAAGCGCAAAGGGAGAAGAUGGAGAUAAGUAUGCCCAGCUGCUAGUGGAAACUGACACAUUUGGCAGCCAAGUCCGGAUUAAAGGAAGAGAGACAGAUUUUUACCUUUGUAUGAACAGAAAAGGCAAGCUUAU